rnacentral:lncRNA from 1 species
UUUCGGAUUCUCUAGCAUGCUGUGAAUUUUCAUGCCAUUUGGAGUCCUGUAGCUUAUGGUUUUGUUGCUGUCAAUAUGCCUUCAGAUCGAAAACUGCAGUUUCAUAAACUGUUAUUUUCACUAAGUCUGAAACUGUGUGUGAGAAGCCAUUUUGUGACUUUUUUUCCUAGUGAUCCAUGCUUCCAUGCUAGUUGUUGUUAGUUGUAUGUGAUAGUGCUUCUUGUCCUCUAUCGUGUCAUGCCUUGGUUGAGUAUAUUGGAGUUGAGUAGCUCGUAGUUGUGGGGUGUAGAAAAUGCUAUGUGGCUGAUUUUGGCAGAUUGUAGUGAUUUCUUGUUUAGCUCGUAGUUUUUGAACCGUAGCUCCGUUUUGAUCGUGUCCUAUAUGAAACUUGCUUAGAAUCUCGUGUAGUUUUAUUUGAUCUUGCUGGUUGUAUGUUUUGAAGUGCUCGUGAUCGUCGUUGCACACAUUUUGCAUUCAUGCCAUCAUAUCUUGCAGUGCUCGUAUCUUUUGAACCGUAGCUCCGUUGGAGAUGUUCUCUAUGUGUAAAUUGCUUGUAACGACGCGUAGAAUCACGUGAACCUAUUUGUUUUGCUGUUUAACAAAUAUUUAAAAGUGUUAGUUCAGAUCUGGACAGAAUUGUAAAUUAUCAUGUGAGGUCGUCUCGGAGAUGCUAUAUAUCAUUUCCGAUCUCAUUUAAAAUGUCUAGAUAGGUAGUUUAAUUGUGCUUCACCUCUUGCCAUGUUUAACCACAUUUAAUAUUGCUGUGUAUCUAAUCGGGAUAGAACUAAAUAAUUAAACGUGGAGUUUCGUCAAUAUGUAACUCGUUGCAUAUUGAACUUCACUUAAUGUGUAGUGUUUGAUUGUCGUGAAUUGUCAUGCCGUGUCUUGCAUGUAUUGAGUUGCUCAUGCAUCAUAUGUGUUGUGCCUCGUGUGGCGAAUAUCGUGUGUUGAUGCUUGUUUCCGUUUUCCUCCGUCUCGUUAGAGUUCCACAACCGUGUCGGAUGUGAGGACCCGUUCGACUACAUCGGUUCGCCUGCUUCACGGAGUCAUUCUUCUUCCAAGCGGGGUCUCAGGCAAGAUGACCAUUUCCCCAGAUACCAUUACUAUCACUGACAUGCUAGUUUUAUCGCUUCUAUCGAUUAUGUCUUGUUGCCUACCACAUGUUAAAUAU